CAGUUUCAAAGUGCAUUCCUCAUGCACUAUAGUUAAUAUAUAUAUAUAUAUAUAUAUAUAUAUAUAUAUAUAUAUUAACUAUAAAUAUAUAUAUUAACUAUAGUGCAUGAGGAAUGCACUUUGAAACUG